CCUACGGGAGGCAGCAGUGGGGAAUAUUGCACAAUGGGCGAAAGCCUGAUGCAGCGACGCCGCGUGAGGGAUGACGGCCUUCGGGUUGUAAACCUCUUUCAGCAGGGAAGAAGCGAAAGUGACGGUACCUGCAGAAGAAGCGCCGGCUAACUACGUGCCAGCAGCCGCGGUAAUACGUAGGGCGCAAGCGUUGUCCGGAAUUAUUGGGCGUAAAGAGCUCGUAGGCGGCUUGUCACGUCGGGUGUGAAAGCCCGGGGNUUAACCCCGGGUCUGCAUUCGAUACGGGCUAGCUAGAGUGUGGUAGGGGAGAUCGGAAUUCCUGGUGUAGCGGUGAAAUGCGCAGAUAUCAGGAGGAACACCGGUGGCGAAGGCGGAUCUCUGGGCCAUUACUGACGCUGAGGAGCGAAAGCGUGGGGAGCGAACAGGAUUAGAUACCCUGGUAGUCCACGCCGUAAACGGUGGGAACUAGGUGUUGGCGACAUUCCACGUCGUCGGUGCGCAGCUACGCAUAGUUACCCGUCCGUCGGGAGGUACGGCCGCGAGACGUAAACGUUAAACGUAAGUAGUAGCGNGAGAGAGCGACGACGACGACGACGGAGGAGAG
rnacentral:rRNA from 1 species